AAGUCGGGCCUGCCCACUGAGUAAGCGACGGGCCUGGGUAUUUUGUUUUUGCGUAGGGAGAUUAAUGCUUAUUCUUUUACUUGGACCCUGGAAGGGCCGGUUAGACUCCGCCUUAACUAUCUCUUCUCAAUGGAUGGAAAUUAUCUCCAGAGUCAAAAGACUGAGGUCAAAAAAUUGGACGAAUAGACCCUAUAGAGCUUUAUUAAGAUGGAAGAUGAAUGGGCUUGCUGUUAACUUUUAUCUUUAUUGUCGUUGUAUUAAGUUGGGGGGACAUAAAGAUAUAAGAAACUCUUUAUUUAUAUUUACAUUUAUUUAUGGCUUAAUGAUCCAGUAUCAGAGAUUGAAAGAUAAAGUUACCUUAGGGAUAACAGCGUUUCCACUUGAGAGUUCAUAUCGAAAGAGGAGUUUGCGACCUCGAUGUUGGACUAAGAAAAUCAUUAAAUGUAGCAGUUAUGUUAAUAAGUCUGUUCGACUUUAUAAUUCUUAC
rnacentral:rRNA from 1 species